rnacentral:rRNA from 1 species
UACGGAGGAUCCAAGCGUUAUCCGGAUUUAUUGGGUUUAAAGGGUGCGCAGGCGGAAGAUUAAGUCGGCGGUGAAAUUUUGCAGCUCAACUGUAAAAGUGCCAUCGAUACUGGUUUUCUUGAGUGUGGAUGAAGUAGGCGGAAUUUGUGGUGUAGCGGUGAAAUGCAUAGAUAUCACGAGGAACUCCGAUUGCGCAGGCAGCUUACUAAACUACUACUGACGCUCAGGCACGAAGGCGUGGGGAUCAAACAGGAUUAGAUACCCG